rnacentral:rRNA from 1 species
AGAGUUCGAUCCUGGCUCAGGAUGAACGCUGGCGGCGCGCCUAACACAUGCAAGUCGAACGGCACCCACCUUCGGGUGGAAGCGAGUGGCGAACGGCUGAGUAACACGUGGAGAACCUGCCCCCUCCCCCGGGAUAGCCGCCCGAAAGGACGGGUAAUACCGGAUACCCCGGGGUGCCGCAUGGCGCCCCGGCUAAAGCCCCGACGGGAGGGGAUGGCUCCGCGGCCCAUCAGGUAGACGGCGGGGUGACGGCCCACCGUGCCGACAACGGGUAGCCGGGUUGAGAGACCGACCGGCCAGAUUGGGACUGAGACACGGCCCAGACUCCUACGGGAGGCAGCAGUGGGGAAUCUUGCGCAAUGGGGGGAACCCUGACGCAGCGACGCCGCGUGCGGGACGGAGGCCUUCGGGUCGUAAACCGCUUUCAGCAGGGAAGAGUCAAGACUGUACCUGCAGAAGAAGCCCCGGCUAACUACGUGCCAGCAGCCGCGGUAAUACGUAGGGGGCGAGCGUUAUCCGGAUUCAUUGGGCGUAAAGCGCGCGUAGGCGGCCCGGCAGGCCGGGGGUCGAAGCGGGGGGCUCAACCCCCCGAAGCCCCCGGAACCUCCGCGGCUUGGGUCCGGUAGGGGAGGGUGGAACACCCGGUGUAGCGGUGGAAUGCGCAGAUAUCGGGUGGAACACCGGUGGCGAAGGCGGCCCUCUGGGCCGAGACCGACGCUGAGGCGCGAAAGCUGGGGGAGCGAACAGGAUUAGAUACCCUGGUAGUCCCAGCCGUAAACGAUGGACGCUAGGUGUGGGGGGACGAUCCCCCCGUGCCGCAGCCAACGCAUUAAGCGUCCCGCCUGGGGAGUACGGCCGCAAGGCUAAAACUCAAAGGAAUUGACGGGGGCCC